AUUCCUCAAAAGUAGGUGAACUGCUUUCUUCUCAUUUUUUCCAUAAUGUCCUUUAAGUAGAGGAUGAAGGAUGCUUUACAGAGGUGAAUAAAAUUCACUGCCCUAUCAUUAUGAAGGGCUGACUCAAACUUUCAAAUAUUUUGAGUGGUAGGAAAAAAUAAGCACAAGAUGAUUUUAUGAGUUUUAAAAGUGUUGUCUGACCCCAGGGAGAGAUCCAACUGGACCAAACCUGCUUUAUCCCUCCUGGAUGCAUAACAUGCAUUGGGAAAUUAAAGACUUUGAGAAGUCCCGUGGCCCCCCAAAGGAAUAAUUUUCUCCAACUUUACUCAUCUUGGAAAUGAUGGGGGAAAGGUCAAUAGGACUCUCUGGUGAAACUGGAUGUGAGAAAUAGACUGAUACAUGGUAGCCUAGACUUUGCACUUCUAAGACAUUACACCUUUUGGGAUAUUUAAAGUAUCUGUGGCAAACCUGUGAUCUUCUGAAGUUCCAAGUGGAGGUGUGGAGUGCUCCUGAUGGCAGAAUUUCCUGGAGAACGAAAUUGAUGUUUGUACACCAAACUUAAAACCUAGCAGGUAGUUUGGAUGUGAUAAGACAGAGAAGAAAGUUGGUGCCUUCAUCAUCUAUCAUCUUCUGCCCUUUUCAUAGACCCCAGACCCAUGAACAAGCAGAACCACUUCAUUUUGCAUUCCACUGCCCAGUCCUCUCUGCUAUUGUGCUCUUCAAAGAUUCUGGGCAUCUUCGGAGUCUGGUAAAAAAAAAAAAAAAAAAAAAAAAAAGGUGGAUGCUACAUAUGCUUCUGAUUUGGAUUUUCAUAAUAACAUUCCCUAAGAUUUCCAAAAGGCCAACACCUUGAAAAAGUAUGUUAAAUGGCUUAGUGUUUGUUUUUUGAAUGUUUUAAAUGCUGCAUGCAACUUUGUUUGGUUCUGGGUAUGCAUUUAGCAUUUAAUUAGAAGUCAGUGCAGUGCUCCUUUUCUGCUUUAUUUUCUACAAAAAGAUUUAGUAGUGGACAACUAUGUCUGUGAAGCUGGGGUGACUUUCCAAAAGGGAACAUAUAGCCAAGGUUUUCUUUCUCCUUAAGCACCAGGGCGAAGGUUGGCCUCACACAUAUAAGUUGUGACAGGUCCAUUUCUGGCUGUGUAGUUGGAUUCCCAGAAUGUCAUUUCUUCUUGUAUUUCAUGAUUCUGUCACUCCAGGGUUGGAGUCACUCAUUCUAUUACCAUCUUAGAUUUCAGUUUCCAUAAUGUGCCCAUCUGAAUUCAGCAUUAAUUUUCUUUUCCCUGGCAAGAAAACACCAAAUAGUGUGUUUAACCCCUUGAGUCAUCAAUUCAUCAAUAGGCCAGGCUCUGUACUUUGGGACAGCUCAACAAACAAUUUUACCACUGACCACAGAGUUGGAUAGAGUAAUCCCUUUCUGCAGAGAGCACAGAGGAUGAUCCAAGUCAGGGCAUAUGGGGAAUGAUUUCUUUUGCCAUCUGCAUUUUGCAUAGGGUCAUGUAACCACCAGACCAGUAGGCCCCCUAAUUCACCCUGUCAGCUCCAAAUAGAGCAGACUUCACACACAAAAAGUGAUGUAUCUAAACCUGAACAAAGAAAUGGUUUAUGAUCUUCUCUUCACAUCCUUGGAUCUUAGGCAUUACAAUAUUUUUCUUUUCUUCCUAAGAUCUUUUACUAUAAAAUUUUAAAAAGCUCACAGUGCAUCAGCAUGGUCUUCUUAGAUGUUUGUUCACUUCUGUUCUUGUUGCUUAAGAAUUAAACACACAGAAAACUUCCUCCCUACCCAGUUCAUACUCCUUGUUUUGUUAAACUGGUAUUAUUACCCUUUUCAUUAGGGUUCAUUUAAAUUCAUCCUCAAAGGUUUGAUUAAAAUUAACUAACAUAUAUGUUAAUGGUCAUGUCUAUACACAAAUCUGUUUGACUAUUUUGACUAAAUAUGCGAAACUACUAAGUAAAUGGAACGAAGGUUUGGGACUCUUACCAACCAGUUAUUUGGGGAUGUAUAUCUCAUUAAAUGAUUUGGGUGAAACUUGUACUUUUCCGCUAGGCAUUUGUGUUCCAUAGGUAAACAAACUAUAAAACUAAGUUGGAAAUUCAACUGAAAAUAAUCACAGGGUUUUUUUUCAGUAACUGAGAGCCAUGGUACUGUGAGAAGUUUUUGUUGCACUCAGUUCUUCUCAUCUGUGUGUGUGUGUGUGUGUGUGUGUGUGUGUGUGUGUGUGUGUGUUUCUGAAUGCCUAACUCUGAUGGAUAUUCUAUUCAUUAAUAUUCCAUGUGUUGCCAACUGAUUCCUUUGAAAUGUCUUCUCAUUUUGUGACAAUGCUGAGUUCUAUUGGUGGUGGCUGACAUUGUGAGAAGAAUAAGUUGUGCAUAUAGUCUUUAGAUUGCACCUGCAUGCAUUCCAAUAUGCCAAAUUAUAAAGGAGCAAUAGGAAACCACAGCGAGGAGUUUAUUGGAUUAUUGGAGAGUUUUUGCUUGUGGCUGUCUCUGCAGAGUGUCACAUAGGUGGCCUUUCUGACCAGGGGUUUUAAAUGAUGCUUCAUUUGUCAGUGUGGAAAACUUCAGAACGAGCAUCCUCUCAAAUCCCAGAACAACAUCUUUUUUACUUGCUAUUCCCUUGGGAGGUUCUAGAAGAUAGAAUGGGAGACCAUGGUGAUUUGGAAAGAAAAAGAGGCCAGUCUUCAUAUCGACACCCGAGGAAUCAACCUAUAGUCUGCCCGCUGUAAUCUCAGGGGGCUGAGGCAACUGUGUGUUUAAUAAUAUCGAGGACUUUGUGACUUACAAAAAGCCAGUCAAAGCAAGGUCUGGAAUCAAUGUACAUCCACCCUUCUCAGUUUAUAAGACUAUAGGGAGAAAGAUUUGGGCUUUGUCAUUUCUGAAUCCCGCAGGGUGCUUAGUAGUGAAAUGAUGGCACUACUUGCAACUUCAGCAGCCAAUAAUUACUGAGUGUUUACUCUAAACCAAGCAAUACCCUAAGCAGUUCAUAAACAUUACCUUAUUUAAUCUUGAUUAUUAUUCUACAGUGUUAUAGUGAGUAUUCUCACCUUAUUGUCAAGAGAAUGUAGGCUUAAAGUUUAUAUAACUUGACCAAGGUGACAGCCGAUAUAGUGGGUUGAAUAGUGGUCCCCAAAGGACAUGUUCACGCCCUAACCCCCAGUCCUUGUGAAUGUGACCUUACUUAGAAAUAGGGUCUUUGCAGAUAUCAUUAAGGUAAGGAUCUUGAGAUGAGAUCAUCCUGGACUUAGGGUGGGCCCUAAAUCCAAUGAUAGGUCUCCUUAUGGAAGAAAGCAGAGGAAGAUUUGGGACACACACAGAGAUGGCCAUAUGAAGAUGGAGGCGGAGACUGGGGUGACAUGUCUAGAAAACCAGCAACAUCGAAGAUUGCUGGCUACCACCAGAAGCUAGGAGAAAGGCAUGGGAUGGAUUUCUCCUCAGCCUCCGAAGCAACCAGCCCUGCUGAUACCUUGAUUUCAGAUUUCUGGCCUCCAGAAGUGUGAGAGAAUAAUUUAUGUUGUUUGAAGCCACCCAGUUUGUGGUCAUUUGUUACAGCAACUCUAGUCAGUGAUGGAAACCAGAUUGAAAACCAAACACCAAAGCCUGUGUUUUGAGCCCUAGUCCUUACACAUCCACUGUAUUGACUAGGCCCAUGCUGUGUGUCUAAUAAAUGUUUAAUAAAUGUUGCUGGGUUUAAAUGUA